rnacentral:tRNA from 1 species
GCGAAUGUAGCCAAGUGGAUCAAGGAAGUGGAUUGUGAAUCCACCAUGUGCGGGUUAAAUUCCCGUCGUUCGCC